ACUCGUGGGUGUGUAAAAAAUUAAUGUUGGGGGUGCAAAAGAAAACUACGCGGACCUAAUUUUCUGUAACCCUAAUUAAACUAAAACUAAUUAAAAAUUAAACCUUCUUCUUCCACGAUGCGGCAGCCUCUUCUUCUCGCACCAACACAACUCCAACUCCUGUCACCGUUCGCCCCCAUCUCCGCUUCACCACGCCACCGCGCCGCAAACGCAGCUACCUUGUCGGCGACACAAAUCGACGCUUGAGACGUCACCAUCCCUCUCAGCGGCUCAACCACUUUGUUCUCGCGCACACACCGAACCCCGAGAGGCUGUCUCCCGCUGCAACCAGCCAAAAAUGCUACCAGCGACGGCGACGCCACCAUAGAUCUCGAAGACGAGGGAUAUGCCACCUUCACUCUCCCUCCUCUCAGGCACGACCUGAACAGCCUCUCCUCCGGCAUCCAAGGCCGCUGCCGACAACGCUCAGAUCGCCGCGACCCAGAUCGCCAUCAUAGCGCCAUUGCCGCUUAAGCUCUGACUCAGCGUUUUCGCCAUCGUGGCUCGAGGAUGAUUUUGUGUCUAUUUGGUGAUGAAGUAAAAAUGGAGAUGUUGAUGGUUUUAUGAAUGGGGAUCGAAAGUCAAGGUUAUGAUUAGCAGUUUCUAGAGAUGUUUGGUGUAUGUUUGUAUCUGUGCAGGUGAAAUGGUGUUGAUGAUUCAUGGUGAUAUUGGGUUGGGGUUAUGUGUUGUUGACAUCGUAAGGACGACUCUCUUUAAUAUCUUUUCCCCUCCUCCCUCAGAGAUGUUACUUUUUCCCCUUUUGUAGUAACGUUUUCUGUGUUUGUUUUUCAAUUUGAUUCUCCUUUGUGUGGUUCAUCAUGAAUUCCUGAUGCCUGUAUUUCUUGAGUCAUGCGAAAAGUGGAAAGGGGUUUGCUUCCUGC